GCCUGGUGGUCGAGACACCUGGCUCACAACCUGAAGGUCGCUGGUUCGAGCCCCAGCA
rnacentral:tRNA from 1 species